rnacentral:sRNA from 1 species
CAAAUGGCCGACUAGGGUUCCGGCCCGCGAUCCAGGGAUCGCGGGCGGCUGGUCCGAGAGUCGGCGACCUCCAGCGAGGUUACACGGCGGGACAAAAGCCCGGGAGAC